rnacentral:rRNA from 1 species
AUUGAACGCUGGUGGCAUGCUUAACACAUGCAAGUCGAACGGUAACAGGUCUUCGGAUGCUGACGAGUGGCGGACGGGUGAGUAACGCGUAGGAAUCUGCCCAUUUGAGGGGGAUACCAGUUGGAAACGACUGUUAAUACCGCAUAAUAUCUGUGGAUUAAAGGUGGCUUAGGCUGCCGCAGAUGGAUGAGCCUGCGUUGGAUUAGCUAGUUGGUGGGGUAAGGGCCUACCAAGGCUACGAUCCAUAGCUGAUUUGAGAGGAUGAUCAGCCACAUUGGGACUGAGACACGGCCCAAACUCCUACGGGAGGCAGCAGUGGGGAAUAUUGGACAAUGGGGGAAACCCUGAUCCAGCAAUGCCGCGUGAGUGAAGAAGGCCUCGGUUGUAAGCUCUUCAGUCGAGAAGAAAAGGAC